UAAAGAUCCUCUUUAGUCCUCUUGUUGUGCCACUGAGCUGCACAGAGUUCAGUCCAUCAUCGCUUCUAGGAGGUUCGGAUUUGAUGGCGGAGGGACUUAAUUUCGACCAUGUUGCUGGUAUGUUCGCGUUUCUUUACCGUCUUUAAAAAGAUAAGUAGAGCUCUGAUGCAGUUAGCCCUGAGGUCAGCGAUCUCUUGGCUUCAUCAAUGUGUCGGUCUUAGCUUGGUAUCGCGAACCUACCUUCUGGGCAUGCAGGCAUCACAUAUGUUGGCUAGGUUAGCGUUUAGGGCAUCAGAUGCCUUCUUGCGGAAGUGGAGUCGGUGAGAGUGAGUGGCUUACCUGCCACUUUGUGGACGGAGAUUCGUGGUCUAGCUUCAGGAAAGAUCAGCCGAUUUGCUAAACCAGUUCAGCCGCAGCAUCGCCGAUUGAGACUGUAAACGAAAUGUACUUGUGAUCACUGCUGGAGUAAGCAUCAAGUAUCUUCUAGUCGAGGAACCCAGUCUGAAAAAUAUUACAUCCAGUAUUAACGCGAACGCCCCGUACUCGAAGGUAAGACAGCUGGACAUUGUUAAUACAGAAACCCAGACUGGCUACGAAGGCCUUGAGUGCCUCACCCCAGCAGUUAUCGAUGCUGGAGUUCCAGUGUGUCGAUUUGGCGUUUAAGUCUUCAACUACAAGAAGUGUUUCGCCCGUUUUUCACCUUGAUAGAUGGCGUGGUCUAGAUCAUCGAGGAAUUCGAGGCGAGAGGCCACCGUGUCGCUGUUAGGUCCUAUAGCAACUGAAGACACAGACACUCCUGAAACGGAGCUUGGGAAUGCUAUAUCUAUCUAUCAACUGAUAGUAUGAUAAAC